ensembl:lincRNA
AUGUCCGCCAGCCGCAGCCUCCAGCAGCCAUGCAGGAUGCCUGGACUAGCACUGACAGGGAUUUGUAGGGUGGCCCUGUCUGGUCCCCAUCUCCUCUGCUCACUCAGUUCAGUCCCAGAGACCUUACCCAGAUCCAGGGGCAGGGGGCCCAGGGUGGAGAGCGAGGCUCCCACGAUCUUUCUGUCCAGUAAGGAGCAGACAGCAAGAAACCCUGAGGGGCUGAGACAAGGAAGCCUGGAGGCAAGGCUCAGGUGGGGCUGGCCCCUGCACCCAGGGUCAAAUCAGGGGGCUUCCAGGCAGGAGGGAUGCACUGGCUCAGGGCCCAGACCCUGUCCAUGCCCAUCCCUGUCGCUGGAGAGAAGGGCCCUGGCCUCGCCCGGGGCAGCCCUGUCCCAGCUGCAGUGCAGGCCGCUGGGCUCUGCAGAACAGUCCUUCCUGCUGCUGGAGCAGGAGAACCGCAGUCUGCCCCCCGACCCAGCUAGCACGCAGCCCUUGGGGAACAGGGCACCUCUGCAGCUGGUGUGGCAGGAGCUGUGCUAGGGGCAAGAGGCUUUCGUGCACCAGUCCCAGGUGGGCCUGGAGGAGGGGCUGUCAGGGGAGGAACCGUCAUGCAACACUCCAGGUGGGCCUGGGGGUGUUCAGUGGGGAGGGAGGAACCUUCAUGCAGCAGGCCGGUGGGCCUGGGGGAGGGCUGUCAGGGGAGGAACCUUCGUGCAGCAGGCCGGUGGGCCCGGCAGGGAGGUACUGGCCACCCUGCUGAUGCUGCCCAAGCCCACCCUGGGCCCCACCCUCAGAAUGAGCUGCAGCAGAUCUGCCUGUGUUUUGAGAAGACGGUCAUCACAGAGGUGCCCGCCUGGCUGAGGGGGAGGGGUGCUGGGGGCCCACCCAGUGGGUCCUCCUCAGGUGUGACCCCACCAUCCUCCUGACAGCAUGGCUGAGAUGUACAUGGCCCUGAACAACCAGGCCACCAGGCUCCUGGUAGGUCCCCACAGAGCAGCACCCAGAAGGAUGGGGCCGGGCAGGCGAGAGGCCGGGUAGGGCGGGGCUGGGGCCUGCUGUGCUUACCUCCUCUGGCCCCCAACACCUCAAGAAGGACAUCCGGGGCAUGCUGGACCAGAAGAAGAACAUCUAGCUGGGGAUUCUCAGGUAACACGGAGGCAGGGACCGGGUCGGCUGAGCAGGGUCUCGGAAGGGGUCCUGGUCAGGACAGGGCAGAUCCAUCCUUGAUCCCCCACCUCCAUAGCACUGAGCCAGGGGGUGGGUGCCAGGCUGGGGGUGGAGCGCGUGGGGUCCUGACAGGCCUCUGCAGGGAGCGGGCCCAGUGCCGCACUCAGGCCAGGAAGGAGCUGCAGAUGGCAAGCAUGGCAGUGAGCCCCCCAUGCCCCCCUCUGGGUCUGGAGACCAGCCCCCCACCCAGGGCUCUGCUUGGGCGAAGGGGAGAAAUGGGCUCCAGCAGAGCAGGUUCAGGGCAGGGGGCAUCUGAAAAGUGGCUGCAGGAACCUGUCCAGGAGGAAGGGGCCAGGGCUGUGGUGGGGGGAGCCCUGUCUGAGGAGGGUUUCCCAAAGUCAGGGAUCCCCGGCCCCAGCCUGGACCAUCAGGGUGGGCUCCCCAACAGAAAGGGAGGCCAAAGCUGGAAAGCUCCAAGGGCCUGGCAGGCCAGCUCUGGUAGGUUACUGUGCGGCAGAGCCCAGCUCCCCAGGCCCCCUGCGUACCCCUGCCCCUGACUGCCACCACCCGUAGGCUACUGACCCUGAGGCUGCUGCUGGGUGCCCUGCUGGGCGCCUACGUGCACACGGUGAACCCCAGGCCCUUCGAGGGGCUGGUGCCACCCCUGCUGAGCCAUGCCACCAUCUGGAAGCUCCAGGCCCUGCUGGACCCCUUCCUGCACCUUGAGGUGGAUGGCCUCCUGUCCUAGGCUGGGGGCCCAGCGGUUCCAGCGAGGAGGCCAGGCGACCAGCACUGCCCCAGAUGCCCAGUGGCCAUGUCGGCACCACUGCACACCAUCCCUUCCAGGAGGUGCAGAGAAGGGUGGAGGCAGGGUCUGUCCUGAGGGCUGGGCCUGUGGCUGGACAUAAAGUCAUGACAUACAUGGCCGGCAAGCACGUCUCUGUGGAAAUUGGGGAAGGGACACCCAGGCCAUCCGACAGCGAAGGUCCCUCAGGGUGGAAACCCCAGCCUCAGGGCUGGCUUCUCACCCCACAUCCCACCUGCCCUCCAGAAGUCAGCCCCUCUGCACAGGGCUCUGACCCCCAAGGGGUCUUAGGACGGUUUCCACUGAAAGGCAACAGCAGUAAGGACUAGGGGGUCCUCAGGUCUUGCCCCCUGGGCCAGGCCCUCCCGUGGACCUCAGAGGUCAGGUUUUCAGCACUGAACCUGCUGAUCCACUGACCUCAUGCCCCUCAUGCAACUCCCCUCCCUUCCUGGCCACCACCCUCCCUGCCCAGGUCCUGUCACCUUCCCAACCCAGGGCCCUGUCUGGUACAGGGCACCACAUUGGUAGACAGAGCUGUGGAGAUCAACACCGAAAAUUUUAUUUGGGGAAUGAAUUAGCAGGGGUGCCCUUAAGAACAAUGCAGGAGAGUUCUGUGGCUUUCUCAUCCCAAAAUGGGAGAAAUAACAGCCGCAGCCCAGGGUAAACCAGGGACAGGGACCCUGUGCUGGAGAAGGGCUGGCUGGAGUGCCACCCUGCCACAGGCCAUACCUCUGCUGGAGGACACAGGGCUUAGGCCUCGGGCCCUCUGAGCGCCCGGCAGCAUCGUCUCUGGGUGCAGGCAGCCCCAGUGGGGCCCAAGCAGAGCUGGCCAUGACCAUAGGACCCUGGAGGCAGGCAGGAGCCAAUGGCUCACCAUGCUGGUGGCUCCAGGAAAUUAAGGCAUCUGUUCAUGUGUCAGGCGAAGGGCAGGAGUGCAGAGACCUUCGGGGGCAACCUGAGACCCCCCACCCAGCCCAACCCACGGAGGCCUGGGCUCCCCGAGGAGGAAGUGGCUUGGUCUAAAGAGCUUGGUUGGACAGGGAGGCUCAGCAAAGUUUGUGCUGGUCUCCGCAAGUUCUGGUGCUGCCCCCUGUAGGGUGCUGGACCCCUUGCAGCAGGUGGGGGACGACUCACUGAGGUCACAUGGACACAGGGUCUCAGACCUUGGCAGGUUGAGAGUCUGUCAAGCUGUGGCUGGUGGAGAAGAAAGCCCAGCUCACCUCCAGCCCUGCCCUAGGAUCCAUGGCAGUCUGACCUCCUGGGUCCCCAGCUGGGCUGUCCCAGGCCCCAGAGCUGCCUACUUGUCAUCCUGCUAGGGCCCGGGGAGGCUGGGGGAAAAGACUAGGUAGCCAAGUGCAGGCGGCACAUGGCCCCACGUGGGGGCGCCCCAGGUGGUCGGGCUCCAGGGGGCCCGCAGUGCUGGGCGGUCUUCCAGGUGGCCAAGGUGGCAUAGGUGCAGCCCAGGAGACACCCAAGGCUGGUCACGUUGCCCCCAUCCACGGGUACAGGUGCCAAUCCGCUCCCUGUGGGCUGCAGCGUCCGUGAGAGAGAAGCAGAAAGGUGGUCAGCACAGGACCAGCUUCGGGGCCCUACAGCCCGCACCCCUCCCACAAUGGGACAGCCCCAGCCCAGGUUGUCUCAGCCCUGAACAGCUGCGCAUCCCUCACACUCCCUCAGCCCUGCCCCUGGCAUUUGUCAGGCAGGAGAGUUCCAGCAGUUUCAGCGGCCCCCACGUGGCCCUGAGCCAGCAUGUGGCCCCUAUGCACCCACACUUCAUUUCGCCAAGCUCUUGGGUUCCUGGGAUUCCCCUGUGGGUAGCGGCAGACCAAAGUCUUUCCCCCACCCUAUCACUGCCAGAACUGAUGCAGACCCAAGGCAAGAGACCCUCACACUUCCUAGCCACAGACCAUCGGCCACGCCCUCUUCCCAAGCCUCUGACUCAGCCCAAGUCCACAGAAAUGCCCCUGAGGAAUCCACCUACCCCUGCACACCAGACAGCAGCCAACCCCCCUUCCGGGGCCCGGCCUCUGCCCUCCCGUAACUCUGGGGGUCCUGCAGCAAUAGCCCUGGUCUUGCCCAAGGGAAGAAUCAAAAUAAGUUUUUCUUUUUUAAUAAAAUUAUAGCUAUAUAGAUGUAGAUAUAAAAACAAAACAGACACAACGCAGGUGGAUGCUGUCGUGUGCUUACUCUCAGGUCCCUGACGCCAAGGGAAGCACGGACUCCUCCCCAGUGUGCUUUCCCACGGCGUGAGCACCGCAGCCAGGCCAGGGUUGGGGACAUGGCAUGCCUUGGGGCAGGGUUCUCCAGUUUGGCAGGGAGGGCCUGAGGGCUGGGGAGGGGGCUCUGGGUGUCACAGGCCCCGUGGCAGCAGCAUCCCCAUGCCUGCUCCCACCUGUCCUGUCACUUCCCACAAGAGCAUAAAGCAAAGGUCUAGGCUUUGAUGAAAGGGACAGUGGCAGCUGGAGCACUGACACAUGGCUGGCCAUCUGUCUACCUAUCCAGCACCACCCAGAACAGGCCAGAGCAGAAGCAUCGGCCUUGCUAAGCUACGAGCUCCCAGUGGGGUCAGUGAAAGGCAAUGCGUUAGUUAGGAGUAGCCUGGUGGGGGACACUCGGUCCGGGAGCCCACAGGCUGUGUCGGAAGGAUGGCAGAGGCCCUGGAUGCCUCUGUCCAUCUCUGGGACCCGUCUGUAAAGGGACCGUUGGGGACUGGCCUGGCGAUGAUCUGGGGUGCAUGGGUGAUGGGAGUGGGCCAAGCCUGGCUGAGAGAGGGGGCUCCAAAGAGGCUGACUAGGCCCCUGCACUGCCCUAGCCAUGGGAUGGGCCCAGACGCAGACCAGCCCUGCGGCCCUUCUCCCAGUGAGCCGACUUCCCCAUGGGCAGAUGAGUGGACAGGCAGGCAGGGCGCCUGGGGCAAGGUGUGGAGGCAUGGCGCUCUCUCCCGCCAAUGGGUCCACACCAGGCUAGGGUGGCCUCUUGUCCCUGGGGCAGAGAAGUUGGUGG